UCAUCGCCAAAGUCAACUCAGUCAAGAAAAGAAAAGUCUCAGUAUUUUGUCGGGUUCAUACAUCACAUGGUUGUUUGAGAAGGAAAUAUGUUGGUGUCUAAGUGCCUAUAAUUUGUAUUGUUGUCAGCAUAGUUCCUGACUCGUCAAUGUGAUAUUCGAUUAUUAAUAGAUAUUAUGAGUAUAUUAAUACUCAAAACAAAACUUCAUAUGCCGAUCAAAAAAUAAGCAGCAUGUAUACAACGAGCUAUUGCUAUCGGUAAAACCACACUAAACUAUAAUGCUAAUUGAAGUCCUAACUAAGAUGCUGAAAGUCCUGUUUGCGAAAGCUUUACGACAUUUGCAUCAGUAUGAGGUCUUAUGAGCAAAACAAUUAAAUGGAUAAGAUCAAUAACAGGUCCAUUUCGCUGUUUACCUCGUUUGGAGAAAAUUGAAAGUUCCAAACUACAUUUCAACACCCAAGCAAUCCUUUGGUAAGAACGACUUUAAAAUGUGAAAUGACGACAUGCCGUUGUUUAUUCCAAUUGCAGAUUUAAAUAUCAACAUAACAAACUCACGGAUCGAGGUGAAGGAACAAUUAUUUAUAUGCCAUUAAAUAAUUAAUUUGAAAAGCACGCAAUCAGAAUUAUGUAGAACCGUUGUAUUACUUUAUUUUUGAAAGUUAAAUCACGCUUUUAAGACAAAAAUGAAAUGCUCUUUUAUCCAUUAUGGUGUACACAUAUUGCUAUGCAAAAGAUCAUGAUCGAGUAAAAUAUAUGUUCUCAAAAA